GGGGGGGGGGGAAUGGGGACAGCCUGCAGCCUGAAACAAUGACAGGAUGGAAAGAUCAGUGCAAAGAAACCUUUGAAACAGAACUGCUUAAAGAGCAAAAAAACCUAGAAGAGAGGUGGCUGGAAAAUGGGAUUUCUUUCUUCCUUUUUUUAAGGCAGUUAAUAAUCACCAGGAUGGGCCAAACAAAUUGUUGAGAAUAUGAUGGGCUGAAAAUAUUGACUUGAAAUGAAGGGAAGUUUUUUAGCACCACUGAGUAAGGAAAUGUCUCUGUGGCCACUAAGUAUCUUCUUUCUAUAGAUUCUACGUCUUGACCACUUUUUUAAUGAUUCUUGUGGUAUAACUAAGAAACUGGCUUACUACUAAACAAGAACUAGCAUAAUAUGUUACUGUGAUGGUAGAAUAAGACCACGCUGGAAUGGUUGACAUUAUCCUCAGCAGCUAAUUUACCCUUCCAGUAAAUGGAUGAUUUGGCAUCUAUGGCAGGCAUUUUCUGAGUGGGCAACUAUUUGGGAAAUGAGCCUUACCACAUCCUCCAAAUGCACUUUCAGCCUCAAAUCUAUUUCCGAGAUAACAAUAAUCAUUUGUGUGUGUGUGUGUGUGUGUGUGUGUGUGUGUGUGUAGCUACCAUUUAUUUAUUUACUCAUUCAUUCAUUCUAUCAAUCAUUUGUUUAUUUUAAAUGUAUAGGCCUACCCCCAUCUUCCUGUCCAGGCAGACUCUGGCUGGCUUACUGUCAGAAAAGCUCAUUCACACAAGGCCAACAAAUUGGUCUAGCUUAUGAUGUAUGGAAGAAGAAAAUAAUUGCCAAGGGUAUCGCAGAUAUUAAGUCCAUAAGUCCUAUCAGUCUCAAAUUUCUUAAGGCAGUACUAUUGUGGGACUGAUGGGCAUUCUGGGCUAAAACUCUGACAAGAUUCAGAUUUCAAGGAGGCUAAUUAAAACCUUGUUCAAACACACAUCUGUGGGGAAGAAGGAAAAGAAAACGGGAACAGAUAAGCAUAAACUGAAAGUGUUUGAACAGUUCUACAGUACGGUACUAAGAUACAAGAUAACUGAAAGUAUUAAGUAUUAAAAUUAUUAUGAAUCUUUCAAUCAUGCAUCUUAAAUUACAAAAGUUUAAUUUAAGGUGGUAUCAAUUACUUUUCAUCAAACAGAUAUUACUGAGAUAUAUUAGGUAUAUACACAAAGUAUUGGAAAAUACUAAAUGUUUGUGCAUACUAUUGGGAGAGUGGAAAAAUAGCCUAUAUUUCCUCAGUCAGAUCUACUGCUUCUAUUUCCAUUAUAUUCAGCAUAGAGGACUUAAAUACAUUAACAAAAUUCCAAAGCUUAAAAUAAACUUAUGUGCAUAAGGCAGGCCUCAAGAUGUUUUGUUUAUUUAGAGCUUCUAAAUAAGUCUGAAGUCUGGAUUUUUAAAACUAAAACCAUAUUUUUAAAAUUAGAUGUUGCUUUGUUUGGACAAAAGAGGAGGGGGCCAGAUUGUGUUUAUUAUAUGUAUAUUGUAAACUAUUCUAUUAGAAGAGAACAUAUAGCUGAAAUGGACCAUGGCCUAUUCUAACUAAAACUUUUUCAGUGUCUUACGUAGCCCAAUAUAGUGACAAGUGCCUGCUUGUAUGUGUGCU